AUUGAACGCCGGCGGCAGGCCUAACACAUGCAAGUCGAGCGGAUGAAGGGAGCUUGCUCCUGGAUUCAGCGGCGGACGGGUGAGUAAUGCCUAGGAAUCUGCCUGGUAGUGGGGGAUAACGUCCGGAAACGGGCGCUAAUACCGCAUACGUCCUGAGGGAGAAAGUGGGGGAUCUUCGGACCUCACGCUAUCAGAUGAGCCUAGGUCGGAUUAGCUAGUUGGUGGGGUAAAGGCCUACCAAGGCGACGAUCCGUAACUGGUCUGAGAGGAUGAUCAGUCACACUGGAACUGAGACACGGUCCAGACUCCUACGGGAGGCAGCAGUGGGGAAUAUUGGACAAUGGGCGAAAGCCUGAUCCAGCCAUGCCGCGUGUGUGAAGAAGGUCUUCGGAUUGUAAAGCACUUUAAGUUGGGAGGAAGGGCAGUAAGUUAAUACCUUGCUGUUUUGACGGUACCAACAGAAUAAGCACCGGCUAACUUCGUG
rnacentral:rRNA from 1 species